rnacentral:rRNA from 1 species
GUAGGUGGCAAGCGUUGUCCGGAAUUAUUGGGCGUUAAAGCGCGCGCAGGUGGUUCUUUAAGUCUGAUGUCGAAAGCCCCCCGGGCUCAACCGGGGAGGGUCAUUGGAAACUGGGGAACUUGAGUGCAGGAGAGGAAAGUGGAAUUCCACGUGUAGCGGUGAAAUGCGUAGAUAUGUGGAGGAACACCAGUGGCGAAGGCGACUUUCUGGCCUGUAACUGACACUGAGGCGCGAAAGCGUGGGGAGCAAACAGGAUUAGAUACCCUGGUAGUCCACGCCGUAAACGAUGAGUGCUAAGUGUUGGGGGGUUUCCGCCCCUCAGUGCUGCAGCUAACGCAUUAAGCACUCCGCCUGGGGAGUACGGCCGCAAAGACUG